UGUUCCGUGGCCCAGCUGGUUAAGGCGCACGACUGUUACGGAUUUAUCCAUUCAAUCGUGAGAUCGAGGGUUCGAUACCCUCCGGAACAG